rnacentral:rRNA from 1 species
UAGCUACAGGCUUAACACAUGCAAGUCGAGGGGCAGCAUGGUCUUAGCUUGCUAAGGCCGAUGGCGACCGGCGCACGGGUGAGUAACACGUAUCCAACCUGCCGUCUACUCUUGGACAGCCUUCUGAAAGGAAGAUUAAUACAAGAUGGCAUCAUGAGUCCGCAUGUUCACAUGAUUAAAGGUAUUCCGGUAGACGAUGGGGAUGCGUUCCAUUAGAUAGUAGGCGGGGUAACGGCCCACCUAGUCUUCGAUGGAUAGGGGUUCUGAGAGGAAGGUCCCCCACAUUGGAACUGAGACACGGUCCAAACUCCUACGGGAGGCAGCAGUGAGGAAUAUUGGUCAAUGGGCGAGAGCCUGAACCAGCCAAGUAGCGUGAAGGAUGACUGCCCUAUGGGUUGUAAACUUCUUUUAUAAAGGAAUAAAGUCGGGUAUGGAUACCCGUUUGCAUGUACUUUAUGAAUAAGGAUCGGCUAACUCCGUGCCAGCAGCCGCGGUAAUACGGAGGAUCCGAGCGUUAUCCGGAUUUAUUGGGUUUAAAGGGAGCGUAGAUGGAUGUUUAAGUCAGUUGUGAAAGUUUGCGGCUCAACCGUAAAAUUGCAGUUGAUACUGGAUAUCUUGAGUGCAGUUGAGGCAGGCGGAAUUCGUGGUGUAGCGGUGAAAUGCUUAGAUAUCACGAAGAACUCCAAUUGCGAAGGCAGCCUGCUAAGCUGCAACUGACAUUGAGGCUCGAAAGUGUGGGUAUCAAACAGGAUUAGAUACCCUGGUAGUCCACACGGUAAACGAUGAAUACUCGCUGUUUGCGAUAUACUGCAAGCGGCCAAGCGAAAGCGUUAAGUAUUCCACCUGGGGAGUACGCCGGCAACGGUGAAACUCAAAGGAAUUGACGGGGGCCCGCACAAGCGGAGGAACAUGUGGUUUAAUUCGAUGAUACGCGAGGAACCUUACCCGGGCUUAAAUUGCAGAUGAAUUACGGUGAAAGCCGUAAGCCGCAAGGCAUCUGUGAAGGUGCUGCAUGGUUGUCGUCAGCUCGUGCCGUGAGGUGUCGGCUUAAGUGCCAUAACGAGCGCAACCCUUGUUGUCAGUUACUAACAGGUUCCGCUGAGGACUCUGACAAGACUGCCAUCGUAAGAUGUGAGGAAGGUGGGGAUGACGUCAAAUCAGCACGGCCCUUACGUCCGGGGCUACACACGUGUUACAAUGGGGGGUACAGAGGGCCGCUACCACGCGAGUGGAUGCCAAUCCCAAAAACCUCUCUCAGUUCGGACUGGAGUCUGCAACCCGACUCCACGAAGCUGGAUUCGCUAGUAAUCGCGCAUCAGCCACGGCGCGGUGAAUACGUUCCCGGGCCUUGUACACACCGCCCGUCAAGCCAUGGGAGCCGGGGGUACCUGAAGUGCGUAACCGCGAGGAGCGCCCUAGGGUAAAACUGGUGACUGGGGCUAAG